CCUACGGGAGGCAGCAGUAGGGAAUAUUGCUCAAUGGGGGAAACCCUGAAGCAGCAACGCCGCGUGGAGGAUGAAGGUUUUCGGAUUGUAAACUCCUUUUGUUAGAGAAGAUAAUGACGGUAUCUAACGAAUAAACACCGGCUAACUCCGUGCCAGCAGCCGCGGUAAUACGGAGGGUGCAAGCGUUACUCGGAAUCACUGGGCGGAAAGAGCGCGUAGGCGGGAUAGCUAGUCAGAUGUGAAAUCCUAUGGCUUAACCAUAGAACUGCAUUUGAAACUGUUAUUCUAGAGUAUGGGAGAGGUAGGUGGAAUUCUUGGUGUAGGGGUAAAAUCCGUAGAGAUCAAGAGGAAUACUCAUUGCGAAGGCGACCUGCUAGAACAUAACUGACGCUGAUGCGCGAAAGCGUGGGGAGCAAACAGGAUUAGAUACCCCAGUAGUC
rnacentral:rRNA from 1 species